CUCAUUUCCUUUCUUUGGCGAUCGUCUUCCGGCAGACUGCCCAGUCUUUGACUCGUAUCAAAGCGGAAGGGCUUCCCCGCAGAGGUGCAGGCCAAGCGGCCAGCAUGUGUGGCUACACCUCCACAUUAGGCCAGAGGAAUGUAAGGGCUACACCCUCUGGACCACGUUUCACAUCGGGAGUUGGAAGAUUGUCAGGGUAUGAAACCCCCAGACCUGCUGCUGCAAGAAGAGAGGCUCGUCACUGAGACAUUCCUUGAGAAAAAAAAAACACUGCCAGGCCACCGUUUAUUUGUGCCGGCUGAAGGCCGGAGAAGAGUGUGAGCGAGGCGGUCGGCACAAGCAGCUCACGGUUGGCCCCAACCUCGGUCUGUUUGUCAGAGGAGUUCGUCUCUUCAGGAGAACGGGCAGAAUGUAUUUCUUUUACUCCAAAAGUUUCUCAUUAUUCCACAGACGGAGAGCCACGCUAAUUUGUCUCUCACCCUAAACCGGCAAAAUAUUUUCCUGACGAAAGGGUUGCAACAUGUGUCUUUGAUGUGGACAUCUGUUUUCAGAAGGGAUCGAGAGGACACCAAGAAUCGCAGCAGGUCCAGACCAGUCCGGGCUGUCUCCCCACCAAAAACGUGACGGUGAAGCGGAGGCCGAUCAGGAUGAAAGUGGGCCACAGCUCCCUCCUUCAUGAAAACCAGAUGGGCCGUCCAUCUAGAGCAACAAAGAGACGGUGGGGUGGAGGGGGGGGGGGGUUUACUCUGUGCUCAGUGAGUAAGUGAACCUGGAGAUUUGAUCGGAUGCUCUCAAAAAAGCAGACAUAAACACACAUAGGAAGCAUAGACAGUGAACCAGACAAAACGAGACGGGGAAGUGUACACAGAGAGAGGGACAGCGAGAGAGCGAGAGUUCUGCAGCCAGAGCCAGGAAGUUUAGAAAACACACCCACAUGGCUUCAUUAAGCACCCGUAUAAACAUGCACAUGUACAGCAGUUUCUUCGAUACAAACAUAAACACAUAUGUUCACACACACUUGCACGCAAACACAGCGGGAUGGGCCCCCGAAUGCACCGCGUCUAAUUCCUUCCUUGUGAGUGGGAGACCCCUACGGCAAGUGAGCAGUACCCCACCGGUAUUUACUUUAACGCUCACCCACAUAACCUCCCAUGUACACUUAGACACAGCAGCCUACAGUCUAUAAAACAUGACUCACAGUGAGUGAACCCACUAACUGUCCUUAUAGAACUGGAAAGCACUGACUCUCCUCUGGGCAAUCUACCUCCUGCAACACUCCUUGGAUCAAUUACCUGACUCCCUUUGCUCCCCAAGCCCAUAUUCAUUAACUUUAUGUGUCACGGGUUGUUUUCACUUAACGCAAAGGGGAGAAGAGCAAUGUUAGCGCAGCUAGUUCAUCGAGUGUGCGCCGCCAGAGCACCAGACCCAAACACCUACAGCGUGUCUCUGUGACAUUGCGGAGUCUGCUGACGAAUGUCUGCAUGGUUCAGUCGUCUCGAUGGGACGAGAUGAAGGGAAGGAGGAGAAGACAAAGGGGUUAUCUGUCUCUCCCUUCGUUCUCCUUCCCAGGGUGAGCGACCUUAUCAGAGUCUGGAGAUCUGCUGCUGUGGCUGUGACAUCAUUUCCUGCCCGAGCCCGGCCUGUCAAGAUUAGGGGGCCCUCGGGCUUGUGAUUUAGACACUUGGUUGUUCUUUCAACAAACAAAAGGCACAGAAGUCCAGGGCUGGGCCCUGUUGAUGUCUGUCUACACCACAGAUGUGUUUUUGUGCGAGGUAUUUCUGCGUGUGUCUUUAAAGAGAGGAUUUGAGGCAUGUUUUGAGCAGCGUGUCCCUCUGUGCAGCACUUACAAAAAAGAGAAAAUAAGGGUCUUGUGGGGAAAAGCUCCCCAUUCAAGGGCAUUCCUGCCGGGUCGUGUGUGUACUCGUCCUCCAUUGUUCAUUCAGGUGCAGUCGAGUGAUGCAUCGUGACAUGUUCCCAAAUAUACGUGUCUAUUAAUCCAUCAGUCCAUUGGCUUCUCCAUAUCACGCUCCAUUUUUAUGGUUAAUAAAAGAUGCCACUAACACUUUAAUUUGCUUCCCAUCUGCCCCAAUUUAACAGCUCUGCUCCCACUGAGAUUUUACUGUAUAAUGAGACAACACAUUUUAAUACUGAGAGGAGGUCCUGCUGGUGUACGAUCACAAGCUGUUGUUAGUGCAGCUCUGAUUCUUUCCUUUUUUUACGGCAUCUUGCUUCUCACAGAGGACUAUAAAAAGACAACAGAUCAUUACGAAAGACUCGAAUGUUUAAAAAUAACAAAGAGCACAGAAAAUCGAUUUAGAAAUAGCCACUCAUAUGUUGUACAAAGUAAUGGCGAAAGCAACUUACAACAUUAUGGUUUCAAAAUAAAAAAAAAAGAGCAAACCAUCCUCCCAGUGAGCUGUAAUUUGUAUGUUCAGUACUGUUGGGUUCAUAAUCCUCUGUAGCAGCAGCUCAGAUAUCCUAUUGGUCAGGCUCUCCACGUCCCUGAUAAUACUCUCAUCAUGUUGUUACGUUGCAAAAUCCUGUUUAUAGCAAAUCCGCAAUAUGAUCGUCAAUCUCCUGUGGAAACUAUUGUGCUUUGCCAAUGAACCCCACUCUGCUGCAAUCUAGGAUAUAGCCUGCAACUAUCUGCGUGAGAGCUGAGCGGAUCAAAUGCUGGGAAUAAUGGACCAUGCGUGCUCUGCAGGAGAGGAAUGAUACAUUAGAGGCAUCCCAAACUGGAAACAUCUUUGCCAUAGCUGGAGAGGACAAAGCAUAUUUGUUUCAUAUUUUGUCUGUAAGCUUUGACUGGACGUUCAAGUCGAUAAUUGUGAAGCAGUUUACUGAUACCGCUUUUACUUACAGUAUAAUAAUCGAGGACUAUACCAUGAUCUGAAGAGUCCUUUUUUUUCCCCUGAGACAGUUUUGUCAAAUUUAAUCAAAGUUGUCUCUGGCUCUGUGGAGUAUGUUGAAAGCCUCUGGUAAACAUGAAGAUAGAGGCAUUUAGAUGCAAAACUGAUUAAUAUCACAUGUCAAACUCUCAUGGUCGACCCACUGAGCAGUUCCACAUGUUUUGAUUAGUCCCUUUUUGUCUCGUUGUGUUUUUUCAGGAGAGCCUCUGCGCUGGGAGGCUUUAACCUCAGCUGGCCACUGCUGGGUGCUGGUCGGGUGUAGGAAGCAGGUGUUACAUUCACAUCAGCAGACGAGCCGGGGGGGGAUAGCAGCAAGCUGAGGCACAAGAAUGUGAGAAACUUUUCCCUCCCUUUUCCUAACAAGUGAUUUAUAAGAGCCAAUGUCUAGACUCACACACACACACACACACACACACACACACACACACACACACACACACACACACACACACACACACACACACACACACACACACACACACACACACACACACACACACACACACACACACACACACACACACACACACACACACACACACACACACACACAGCGCGAUGUAAUGCUCACAACAUGCCACAAAACAAAAUGGCCAGAUGAGAAAUGAAGAGACAGUAUUUCCUUUCCACCACUGGGUAGUGCUGAAAGGAAAGCCACCCUUCCCAAAUCAAAGAGUCCGGACAUCAGACAUCUUCUAAGGCCCGGAUUUCAAUUCAAAACGCCGCAAUGGCAACAGUCCAACCAACAUUCAACCAAUCCCUGUGGAUUCUGCACUGCCUUGCAAUUUGGCCCAAUCACUGUUUGAUUAAAUAGUUAACAGUGAUGUUUCUAUCACAAAGAAGUCAUAGACGCAUGCUGACGGUUUCAUGGCAAACUCUGUUUAAGAAUCGCAGCUCUUCUUGCAGUUUGCACUUGCGCCUGCCAAUUCAUUGCUCAAACAUUGAAACCUUUUUUUGCUGCUGUAUAAUCAUAGUCAUUGUAGGCUGCAACAUUUCCUCCAAAAUGUCUGCCAAAUCCCGGAGGGACUGUGUGUUGCUCCGUACAUGCACUCUAGCCAGAACGGGAAGUGAACAAGUAACACCAGAUAUAGAGACGACUCACAACUAGCACUGUUGUCCAAGCUGCUCUUCCUUUUAAGUGGACACUUUUCUCUAUACUGAAGUGAUCAUUGAUGUGACUACUUUUGUACUUUUUAAUAUGAAGUCAAUAUUUGUACUUACACAUGUUGGGCUUUUGCUGUGUUGGGGGAACCUGUAAAGGUUCAGUAUGUUUGCAUGCAAUGUUCUUAAAGUACAACCGAGGCUAUCCUCAUUGUCAGUCUUUAGUUUUCCUUUUCCUUUUUUUUAUGUCUGAGUUAAAUAAAUUAGUGUAAUCUCUAAAGGACCAUGGCAAAUUUGAAAGUAUAUGUCAUACUGCAAUGAUGGAUAAGUCAACAUCGCCGUCAUUGUAACCCGACUGGCAUGGAUGCAAAUUAUGAAAUAACAAGAACAUACAGUACAUACGCACUAGACAAGAUCAACUUCUUCUUAAGUAACCAGAUGCUCACAAGGAUACCACAAGAUCAACUCUGAUGUCUGUGCUAAGCAACAACUCAUUCUACAGUAUGGCAAUAAUCAUAGAAAUCAUGUUUUGAAGUCUUUUACUCUGCCACAUUAAAUCUUUUUGGGAGAUCAA